CUCUGAGAGGUGGAAGCUCGUGAUUUCCUACAGCUAUUUCUUUGAAUAAAGCCACUCCACUUUCAUCUGUUUCGUGCUUGUUUUGCAGGAGUAUGCAGCUAGGAGAAGAAAACAGCUGAAUUCUUGGAAAAUGAUCCAUUGUGAAUAUGCUGAGCUUUGGAGGAAAAAAGAGUGCGAGGUUCCAAUGUAGUGCCUGUUAGUAAGAUUGGAUUUGACCCGAUUCAAGGUUUUGCACAGCUUUAGAUGACAAUAGCAGAGAAUUUUGAAAAAGAGUUAUACUGGGUUGGACUCUGCAGAGAUUUGUUACUUCCCUGGUAGUAAUACUGAAACAUUGAAGAGCUGGUGUUAAUUGGGAAAGACUGUGGGAUGAAGAUGGCAACUAAAGAUGUGAACAUUCAACAGUUUUGGGAAGCUCAUCCUGCUAGCUUUUAAUACCACUGAAAAGAGAAGUACUUAUGCCUCUGUUUCUAUGUAAGAGCUUGGUGUACCAUACCUCUGAAAUGUCUCUUCCUUACAAAAUAA